UCGGACCGCGAACCCCAGUCAGGCGGGAUUACCCGCUGAAUUAA
rnacentral:rRNA from 1 species